rnacentral:rRNA from 1 species
GGAGUUAGCCGGUGCUUCUUCUGUGAGUGAUGUCCUUCCUGCCGGCUAUUAACCCGCAGGCCUUCUUCCUCACUGAAAGUGCUUUACAACCCGAAGGCCUUCUUCACACACGCGGCAUGGCUGGAUCAGGGUUGCCCCCAUUGUCCAAUAUUCCCCACUGCUGCCUCCCGUAGGAGUCUGGGCCGUGUCUCAGUCCCAGUGUGGCUGAUCAUCCUCUCAGACCAGCUACGGAUCGUCGCCUUGGUGAGCCGUUACCUCACCAACCAGCUAAUCCGACAUAGGCUCAUCCGAUAGCGCGAGGCCCGAAGGUCCCCCGCUUUCCCCCGUAGGGCGUAUGCGGUAUUAGCCUGGGUUUCCCCAGGUUAUCCCCCACUACCGGGCAGAUUCCUAUGCAUUACUCACCCGUCCGCCGCUCGCCACCAGGGAGCAAGCUCCCCGUGCUGCCGCUCGACUUGCAUGUGUUAGGCCUGCCGCCAGCGUUCAAUCUGAGCCAAGAUCAAAUUCUGA